rnacentral:rRNA from 1 species
AGUUCGAUUAUGGCUCCAGAUUGAACGCUGGCGGGAUGCUUUACACAUGCAAGUCGAACGGCAGCACGGACGGUCUGGUGGCGAGUGGCGAACGGGUGAGUAAUGUGUCGGAACGUGCCUAGUAGCGGGGGAUAACUACGCGAAAGCGUAGCUAAUACCACAUACGCCCUUCGGGGGAAAAGCGGGGGGCCUCGCACUAUUAGAGCGGCCGAUAUCCGGAUUAGCUAGUUGGUGGGGGUAACGGCUCACCAAGGCGACGAUCGUAGCUGGUUUGAGAGGACGACCAGCCACACUGGGACUGAGACUGGCCCAGACUCCUACGGGAGGCAGCAGUAGGGAAUUUUGGACAAUGGGGGAAACCUGAUCCAGCCAUCCCGCGUGCGAUGAAGGCCUUCAGGUUGUAAAGCACUUUUGUAGAAGAAACGGCACGGGAUAAUACCCGUGCAACUGACGGUACAGAAUAAGCACCGGCCAACUACGUGCCAGCAGCCGCGGUAAUACACGUAGGAGUGCAAGCGUUAAUCGGAAUUACUGGGCGUGAAGCGUGCGCAGGCGGUUCGGAAAGAAGAAUGGCAAAAUCCCAGAGCUUAACUUUGGAACUGCAUUUUUAACUACCGAGCUAGAGUGUGUCAGAGGAGGUGGAAUUCCGCGUGUAGCAGUGAAAUGCGUAGAUGCGGAGGAACACCGAUGGCGAAGGCAGCCUCCUGGGAUAACACUGACGCUCAUGCACAGCGUGGGAGCAAGCAGAGUUAGAUACCUGGUAGUCCACGCCUAAGCGAUGUCAACUAGCUGUUGGGGCCUUCGGGCCUUGGUAGCGCAGCUAACGCGUGAGUUGACCGCCUGGGAGUACGGUCGCAAGAUUAAAAACUCAAAGGAAUUGACGGGGACCCGCACAAGCGGUGGAUGAUGUGGAUUAAUUCGAUGCAACGCGAAAAACCUUACCUACCCUUGACAUGUCUGGAAUCCCGAAGAGAUUUGGGAGUGCUCGCGAACCGGAGCACAGGUGCUGCAUGGCUGUCGUCAGCUCGUGUCGUGAGAUGUUGGGUUAAGUCCCGCAACAGGCACCAGCCCUUGUCAUUAGUUGCUACGAAAGGGCACUCUAAUGAAACUGCCGGUGACAAACCGGAGGAAGGUGGAGAGCGUCAAGUCCUCAUGGCCCUUAUGGGUAGGGCUUCACACGUCAUACAAUGGUCGGGACAGGGUCGCCAACCCGCGAGAGGCCAAUCCCAGAAACGAUCGUAGUCCGGAUCAUGAUCUACUCGACUGCGUGAAGUCGGAAUCGCUAGUAAUCGCGGAUUGGCAUGUCGCGGUGAAUACGUUCCCGGGUCUUGUACACACCGCCCGUCACACCAUGGGAGUGGGUUUUACCAGUAGUUAGCCUAACCGUAAGGAGGGCGAUUACCACGGUAGAGUUCAUGACUGGGGUGGUAGUAACAAGGUAA